rnacentral:misc_RNA from 1 species
AUUAAAUUGAUACAAAAAUGAAAAUAUUUUUACAGCGUAAGCUCAAAAACACUCUUUCAAUGGAAAGCAUAAUUAUAACAAAACGAAAGAAUCCAGUUUUUCUUAAUUAUAAAUAAUUAAGAUCUCUCCUAUUUUGGGGGAAAAAAAUAAUAAAACUUUCAAGUGGGUGUGACAGUGAGGGUGUGGGUAACGUGGACCAAUUGACUAUAGAGAUAACAGAGACGCCCAUGCAACUGUCCACAGAAUCGGAAAGCGGUGUCGUGCCUCGUCUGCUCUUGGCUAGCUCCAUAAGGUCACUUUUGCUCGCAAAGAGACGAAUGUUGAAGCUGUUUUCUUUGAAACCAUUCUUUCCCUUCAAUUCCCUUCUGCUG